rnacentral:rRNA from 2 species
UUCCUAGUAAGCGCAAGUCAUCAGCUUGCGCUGAUUACGUCCCUGCCCUUUGUACACACCGCCCGUCGCUACUACCGAUUGAAUGGCUCAGUGAGGCUUUCGGACUGGCUCAGGGAGGGUGGCAACACCCACCCAGAGCCGGAAAGUUGUUCAAACUUGGUCAUUUAGAGGAAGUAAAAGUCGUAACAAGGUUUCCGUAGGUGAACCUGCGGAAGGAUCAUUAAAAAGGAUACCGGGCAACCGGUAGACCCCACCCGUGUCUAUCUACUCUUGUUGCUUUGGCAGGCCGUGGCCUCCACCGUGGGCUCUGCCUGCGCGUGCCUGCCAGAGGACCAAACUCUGAAUUUUAGUGAUGUCUGAGUACUAUAUAAUAGUUAAAACUUUCAACAACGGAUCUCUUGGUUCUGGCAUCGAUGAAGAACGCAGCGAAAUGCGAUAAGUAAUGUGAAUUGCAGAAUUCAGUGAAUCAUCGAAUCUUUGAACGCACAUUGCGCCCGGUGGUAUUCCGCCGGGCAUGCCUGUUCGAGCGUCAUUAUAACCAUUCAAGCCUAGCUUGGUAUUGGGGUUCGCGGUUCCGCGGCCCCUAAAAUCAGUGGCGGUGCCGGUGGGCUCUAAGCGUAGUAAAUCUCCUCGCUAUAGGGUCCCCCCGGUUGCUCGCCAGAACCCCCAAUUUUUUAAGGUUGACCUCGGAUCAGGUAGGGAUACCCGCUGAACUUAA